rnacentral:rRNA from 1 species
AUUGAACGCUGGCGGCAGGCCUAACACAUGCAAGUCGAACGCGUGGCGGACGGGUGAGGAAUACAUCUGAAUCUACUCUGUCGGGGGGGAUAACGUAGGGAAACUUACGCUAAUACCGCAUACGAUUGAAUGAGCCGAUGUCGGAUUAGCUAGUUGGCGGGGUAAAGGCCCACCAAGGCGACGAUCCGUAGCUGGUCUGAGAGGAUGAUCAGCCACACUGGGACUGAGACACGGGCCAGACUCCUACGGGAGGCAGCAGUGGGGAAUAUUGGACAAUGGGCGCAAGCCUGAUCCAGCCAGACCGCGUGGGUGAAGAAGGCCUUCGGGUUGUAAAGCACUUUUGUUGGGGAAGCGGUACCCAAAGAAGAAGCACCGGCUAACUUCGUGCCAGCAGCCGCGGUAAUAC